rnacentral:rRNA from 1 species
UACAGAGGGUGCAAGCGUUAAUCGGAAUGACUGGGCGUAAAGGGCGCGUAAGCGGGUUGUCAAGUCAGAUGUGAAAGCCCCGGGCUUAACCUGGGAUGUGCAUCUGAGACUGGCAAUCUAGAGUAGAGUAGAGGGAGGUGGAAUUUCCGGUGUAGCGGUGAAAUGCGUAGAUAUCGGGAAGAACACCCGUGGCGAAGGCGGCUCUCUGGGACGGUACUGACGCUGAGACGCGAAAGCGUGGGGAGCGAACAGG